rnacentral:rRNA from 1 species
AGUGAACGCUGGCGGUAGGCCUAACACAUGCAAGUCGAACGGCGGCACGGUAAGAGCUUGCUCUUACGGGUGGCGAGUGGCGGACGGGUGAGGAAUACAUCGGAAUCUACUUUUUCGUGGGGGAUAACGUAGGGAAACUUACGCUAAUACCGCAUACGACCUACGGGUGAAAGCAGGGGAUCUUCGGACCUUGCGCGAUUGAAUGAGCCGAUGUCGGAUUAGCUAGUUGGCGGGGUAAAGGCCCACCAAGGCGACGAUCCGUAGCUGGUCUGAGAGGAUGAUCAGCCACACUGCAACUGAGACACGGUCCAGACUCCUACGGGAGGCAGCAGUGGGGAAUAUUGGACAAUGGGCGCAAGCCUGAUCCAGCCAUACCGCGUGGGUGAAGAAGGCCUUCGGGUUGUAAAGCCCUUUUGUUGGGAAAGAAAAGCAGCAGGUUAAUACCCCGCUGUUCUGACGGUACCCAAAGAAUAAGCACCGGCUAACUUCGUG